CUCAGGGAAACUUGAGCUAAUACCGCAUAAUGCAGCGGCUCGACAUCGAGACAGUUGUUAAAGCGGGGGAUCGCAAGACCUCGCGCCUGAAGAGAAGCCUGCGGCAGAUUAGCUAGUUGGUAGGGUAAUGGCCUACCAAGGCAACGAUCUGUAACCGGCCUGAGAGGGCGGUCGGUCACACUGACACUGACAUACGGGUCAG
rnacentral:rRNA from 1 species